rnacentral:rRNA from 1 species
GACAGAGGGUGCAAACGUUGUUCGGAAUUACUGGGCGUAAAGCGUGUGUAGGCGGCUAUGUAAGUCGGAUGUGAAAGCCCCGGGCUCAACCCGGGAAGUGCACUCGAUACUGCGUAGCUUGAGUACCGGAGAGGUUGGUGGAAUUCUCGGUGUAGAGGUGAAAUUCGUAGAUAUCGAGAGGAACACCGGUGGCGAAGGCGGCCAACUGGACGAGUACUGACGCUGAGACACGAAAGCGUGGGGAGCAAACAGG